CAGCAAUUUCCGUGAACAUAACGGAUGGCAGUUUUAAUAGUCUUCUGUUUUUGUUCCUGCAGAAUCACAACUUAAGAAACAUUAAUUGCAAAGCAGUCCUUCAUACCAGUUUAACGAAAUAUAUAUAUAUAUAUCCUAACAAAAAGAAAAAGCAGAACAAGUUGAUUUAAAAUGUCCUUAACCGCAAUUGACAAUGAAAACAAUGUCCGAUGCACAACCACAAAGUGAUUCCAGACACACACAAUGUCGCAUGAUAAAGGUACUUUUUUUUUCUCUCUCAGAAAAAAAAAUAAUAAUAAAACAGAGGUAACAAGACAAUUACACUUUGCACGUGAAACAUCUGCACUCGGGAACUGUUCUGUGAAUGAACGCGGUUCUUAAAAUAAUGGCCUUAGUGCGCGCACGAGGAGGCUCAUAUUCUCCGAAACCUAUAUUUACAAUUCUCGCCCACGCAAGGAGAAAGAAAAAAAAAAGAGAAACUGGGGGUUUAGAGACAAUGAACAGAAGAAACAAUGUACAAGAGAGCACGCUUGCGCGAGGCAAAAAUAAAGUACAGAGAACGCGUGUGCUCCGGGAGAGGUUCUUUUCCCCUCCUCGCACACACCACACCACUGACGUCGUCUGUGUCCCACAGGGUGAUACAGGAAAAAAAAUGACAGCGCGCGCUCGCGUGCAUGUGUGCCCACAACAGUAUACAAAUUCUCGUUUGUUUUUAUCUCUCUCCCCCUUUGUACACAACUUCCCCCCCGGGGGCGGCGGGCAGGGAAUCGUCGUCGUCUUCGUAGUGGCGGAACAAACUUGAGCUGAGAAGAACCGAGAGAAAGAUGAGGCAGUGAGCGGUCCGUGUGGAGGCAAGCGGCACAACACUCGCGUGUGUUCACAACGUGUCAGUCCUCGUCUGACAAAGGUUCAUACUGGGACGAUAG
rnacentral:lncRNA from 1 species